UUUCCGUUCCUGGGCGGGGAUGGCAUCCCGAGCAGGAAAGGCGUUGGUUAAGGUACCGUGCCAGCCAGGCUUAAGUUAAUAGGUUAGUCGGCAAGUCUUGAUCCCGUAUUUAUUGGGAGAAAAAGCGAGCGCAGGGCGGUUUAUUUAGGUCUGAGGUGAAAGCCUUCGGGUUAACCGAAGAAGUGCAUGGGAAACCGGGCGACUUGAGUGCAGAAGAGGACAGUGGAACUCCAUGUGUAGCGGUGGAAUGCGUAGAUAUAUGGAAGAACACCAGUGGCGAAGGCGGCUGUCUGGUCUGCAACUGACGCUGAGGCUCGAAAGCAUGGGUAGCGAACAGGAUUAGAUACCCUGGUAGUCCAUGCCGUAAACGAUGAGUGCUAGGUGUUGGAGGGUUUCCGCCCUUCAGUGCCGGAGCUAACGCAUUAAGCACUCCGCCUGGGGAGUACGACCGCAAGGUUGAAACUCAAAGGAAUUGACGGGGGCCCGCACAAGCGGUGGAGCAUGUGGUUUAAUUCGAAGCUACGCGAAGAACCUUACCAGGUCUUGACAUCUUGCGCUAACCUUAGAGAUAAGGCGUUCCCUUCGGGGACGCAAUGACAGGUGGUGCAUGGUCGUCGUCAGCUCGUGUCGUGAGAUGUUGGGUUAAGUCCCGCAACGAGCGCAACCCUUGUUACUAGUUGCCAGCAUUAAGUUGGGCACUCUAGUGAGACUGCCGGUGACAAACCGGAGGAAGGUGGGGACGACGUCAGAUCAUCAUGCCCCUUAUGACCUGGGCUACACACGUGCUACAAUGGACGGUACAACGAGUCGCAAGCUCGCGAGAGUAAGCUAAUCUCUUAAAGCCGUUCUCAGUUCGGACUGUAGGCUGCAACUCGCCUACACGAAGUCGGAAUCGCUAGUAAUCGCGGAUCAGCAUGCCGCGGUGAAUACGUUCCCGGGCCUUGUACACACCGCCCGUCACACCAUGGGAGUUUGUAACGCCCAAAGUCGGUAGCAGUAACGCUCUAUGGCUCGAGCCGCCUAUAGCACAGAUGCAAAUCCCG
rnacentral:rRNA from 2 species